AACGAACGCUGGCGGCAGGCUUAACACAUGCAAGUCGAGCGCCCCGCAAGGGGAGCGGCAGACGGGUGAGUAACGCGUGGGAAUCUACCCAUCUCUACGGAAUAACGCAUGGAAACGUGUGCUAAUACCGUAUACGUCCUUCGGGAGAAAGAUUUAUCGGAGAUGAAUGAGCCCGCGUUGGAUUAGCUAGUUGGUGGGGUAAAGGCCUACCAAGGCGACGAUCCAUAGCUGGUCUGAGAGGAUGAUCAGCCACACUGGGACUGAGACACGGCCCAGACUCCUACGGGAGGCAGCAGUGGGGAAUAUUGGACAAUGGGCGCAAGCCUGAUCCAGCCAGGCCGCGUGAGUGAUGAAGGCCCUAGGGUUGUAAAGCUCUUUCACCGGUGAAGAUAAUGACGGUAACCGGAGAAGAAGCCCCGGCUAACUUCGUGCCAGCCGCCGCCGUAAAAC
rnacentral:rRNA from 1 species